UGGUCUCUGUAGCAGGCUGAGGUGCUGGUCUCUGUAGCAGGCUGAGGUGCUGGUCUCUGUAGCAGGCUGAGGUGCUGGUCUCUGUAGCAGGCUGAGGUGCU